rnacentral:lncRNA from 1 species
GCCAAUAGGAGCAUCUCAUGUGAGGAAGCUGAAGACAUGGCGCUGCGCAUAGGACGUGCUUACAGAAGAGAGUCUGUGUUUUUUCAGAAGCACACGCAGGAGAUUGAUGCCGCAGAAACACAUGCAGUACCAUGUCCUACCACGUGAGGGCGAGGGUCAUAACAGUGCCAUUUGUUUGGUCUGAGACUCUGGUUGUUCUGUUCAAAGAGACACAUGGGCUGCCUUCAUAUCCACAAAGCUGGAGACAGAGUCUUUCUGACCCGUAUCCUCCCUGCGCUGGGCCUCAGCCACCUGUGGUGCAGCUAGACCAUCCAUCUUUCCCCUAUACACACACACACACACACACACACACACACACACACAUGCUGCUAUGGGCUGUGCCCCGUAGUCAUUGCGUAAGCAUCCUGACAUCUUAAUGUAAGAGUUAAAGGAAUAGUCUCUCAAAAAUAAAAAUUGUCAUAAUUUACUCACCUUCAUGUAGUUCCAAAACUGUAUGACUUUCUAUCUUUCGUGGAACAAAUAUAGAAAAUAUAGAAAAAAAAUCUUUACACUGCCCU